GGGUUGUGAGGUUAAGCGACUAAGCGUACACGGUGGAUGCCCUGGCAGUCAGAGGCGAUGAAGGACGUGCUAAUCUGCGAUAAGCGUCGGUAAGGUGAUAUGAACCGUUAUAACCGGCGAUUUCCGAAUGGGGAAACCCAGUGUGUUUCGACACACUAUCAUUAACUGAAUCCAUAGGUUAAUGAGGCGAACCGGGGGAACUGAAACAUCUAAGUACCCCGAGGAAAAGAAAUCAACCGAGAUUCCCCCAGUAGCGGCGAGCGAACGGGGAGGAGCCCAGAGCCUGAAUCAGUGUGUGUGUUAGUGGAAGCGUCUGGAAAGGCGCGCGAUACAGGGUGACAGCCCCGUACACAAAAAUGCACAUGCUGUGAGCUCGAUGAGUAGGGCGGGACACGUGGUAUCCUGUCUGAAUAUGGGGGGACCAUCCUCCAAGGCUAAAUACUCCUGACUGACCGAUAGUGAACCAGUACCGUGAGGGAAAGGCGAAAAGAACCCCGGCGAGGGGAGUGAAAAAGAACCUGAAACCGUGUACGUACAAGCAGUGGGAGCCUCUUUUAUGGGGUGACUGCGUACCUUUUGUAUAAUGGGUCAGCGACUUAUAUUCUGUAGCAAGGUUAACCGAAUAGGGGAGCCGAAGGGAAACCGAGUCUUAACUGGGCGUUAAGUUGCAGGGUAUAGACCCGAAACCCGGUGAUCUAGCCAUGGGCAGGUUGAAGGUUGGGUAACACUAACUGGAGGACCGAACCGACUAAUGUUGAAAAAUUAGCGGAUGACUUGUGGCUGGGGGGUGAAAGGCCAAUCAAACCGGGAGAUAGCUGGUUCUCCCCGAAAGCUAUUUAGGUAGCGCCUCGUGAAUUCAUCUCCGGGGGUAGAGCACUGUUUCGGCAAGGGGGUCAUCCCGACUUACCAACCCGAUGCAAACUGCGAAUACCGGAGAAUGUUAUCACGGGAGACACACGGCGGGUGCUAACGUCCGUCGUGAAGAGGGAAACAACCCAGACCGCCAGCUAAGGUCCCAAAGUCAUGGUUAAGUGGGAAACGAUGUGGGAAGGCCCAGACAGCCAGGAUGUUGGCUUAGAAGCAGCCAUCAUUUAAAGAAAGCGUAAUAGCUCACUGGUCGAGUCGGCCUGCGCGGAAGAUGUAACGGGGCUAAACCAUGCACCGAAGCUGCGGCAGCGACGCUUAUGCGUUGUUGGGUAGGGGAGCGUUCUGUAAGCCUGCGAAGGUGUGCUGUGAGGCAUGCUGGAGGUAUCAGAAGUGCGAAUGCUGACAUAAGUAACGAUAAAGCGGGUGAAAAGCCCGCUCGCCGGAAGACCAAGGGUUCCUGUCCAACGUUAAUCGGGGCAGGGUGAGUCGACCCCUAAGGCGAGGCCGAAAGGCGUAGUCGAUGGGAAACAGGUUAAUAUUCCUGUACUUGGUGUUACUGCGAAGGGGACGGAGAAGGCUAUGUUGGCCGGGCGACGGUUGUCCCGGUUUAAGCGUGUAGGCUGGUUUUCCAGGCAAAUCCGGAAAAUCAAGGCUGAGGCGUGAUGACGAGGCACUACGGUGCUGAAGCAACAAAUGCCCUGCUUCCAGGAAAAGCCUCUAAGCAUCAGGUAACAUCAAAUCGUACCCCAAACCGACACAGGUGGUCAGGUAGAGAAUACCAAGGCGCUUGAGAGAACUCGGGUGAAGGAACUAGGCAAAAUGGUGCCGUAACUUCGGGAGAAGGCACGCUGAUAUGUAGGUGAAGCGACUUGCUCGUGGAGCUGAAAUCAGUCGAAGAUACCAGCUGGCUGCAACUGUUUAUUAAAAACACAGCACUGUGCAAACACGAAAGUGGACGUAUACGGUGUGACGCCUGCCCGGUGCCGGAAGGUUAAUUGAUGGGGUUAGCGGUAACGCGAAGCUCUUGAUCGAAGCCCCGGUAAACGGCGGCCGUAACUAUAACGGUCCUAAGGUAGCGAAAUUCCUUGUCGGGUAAGUUCCGACCUGCACGAAUGGCGUAAUGAUGGCCAGGCUGUCUCCACCCGAGACUCAGUGAAAUUGAACUCGCUGUGAAGAUGCAGUGUACCCGCGGCAAGACGGAAAGACCCCGUGAACCUUUACUAUAGCUUGACACUGAACAUUGAGCCUUGAUGUGUAGGAUAGGUGGGAGGCUUUGAAGUGUGGACGCCAGUCUGCAUGGAGCCGACCUUGAAAUACCACCCUUUAAUGUUUGAUGUUCUAACGUUGGCCCCUGAUCGGGGUUGCGGACAGUGUCUGGUGGGUAGUUUGACUGGGGCGGUCUCCUCCUAAAGAGUAACGGAGGAGCACGAAGGUUGGCUAAUCUGGUCGGACAUCAGGAGGUUAGUGCAAUGGCAUAAGCCAGCUUGACUGCGAGCGUGACGGCGCGAGCAGGUGCGAAAGCAGGUCAUAGUGAUCCGGUGGUUCUGAAUGGAAGGGCCAUCGCUCAACGGAUAAAAGGUACUCCGGGGAUAACAGGCUGAUACCGCCCAAGAGUUCAUAUCGACGGCGGUGUUUGGCACCUCGAUGUCGGCUCAUCACAUCCUGGGGCUGAAGUAGGUCCCAAGGGUAUGGCUGUUCGCCAUUUAAAGUGGUACGCGAGCUGGGUUUAGAACGUCGUGAGACAGUUCGGUCCCUAUCUGCCGUGGGCGCUGGAGAACUGAGGGGGGGCUGCUCCUAGUACGAGAGGACCGGAGUGGACGCAUCACUGGUGUUCGGGUUGUCAUGCCAAUGGCACUGCCCGGUAGCUAAAUGCGGAAGAGAUAAGUGCUGAAAGCAUCUAAGCACGAAACUUGCCCCGAGAUGAGUUCUCCCUGAGACUUUAAGUCUCCUGAAGGAACGUUGAAGACGACGACGUUGAUAGGCCGGGUGUGUAAGCGCAGCGAUGCGUUGAGCUAACCGGUACUAAUGAACCGUGAGGCUUAACCUUACAACGCCGAAGGUGUUU
rnacentral:rRNA from 1 species